rnacentral:rRNA from 1 species
AGGACGAACGCUGGCGGCACGCUUAACACAUGCAAGUCGAACGGAGUUAUCGAGAGCUUGCUUUGAUAACUUAGUGGCGGACGGGUGAGUAACACGUGAGCAAUCUGCCCUUAAGAGGGGGAUAGCAGUUGGAAACGGCUGAUAAUACCGCAUAAGAUAGUAGUACCGCAUGGUACAGCUAUAAAAGAUUUAUCGCUUAAGGAUGAGCUCGCGUCUGAUUAGCUAGUUGGUGAGGUAACGGCUCACCAAGGCAACGAUCAGUAGCCGGACUGAGAGGUUGGACGGCCACAUUGGGACUGAGACACGGCCCAGACUCCUACGGGAGGCAGCAGUGGGGAAUAUUGCACAAUGGAGGAAACUCUGAUGCAGCGAUGCCGCGUGAGGGAAGAAGGUUUUAGGAUUGUAAACCUCUGUUGACAGGGACGAUAAUGACGGUACCUGUUGAGGAAGCUCCGGCUAACUACGUGCCAGCCGCUGC